GGGAAGCAUUCACUGUGAUGUUAGUGGUGUAGCGUGCGAGCACAGUGCAGUGUGUGAGCACAUACUCCUGAUCUCUCUAGAUUAAUAGUGGAAAGAUUAGGAGAACUUGUAGGGCCACCUCGUGGCCAUGCUAUGUACAGUGGCUCACAGUACUGAUGUCUGCUUCGUACAGCCAAGGAUGUUUUCUUUUGUGUGAUUAUACCCUGGUUUUCCUUUGUUUUACCAACACAUACUCUCCUUUUUGGCCUUAAACCCCUUAAUAAUCCUUGUACCUCUUUUUACAGUACCUGGAAAGAAUGGAAAUCUAGUCCAUCCAUGACCAACUAUGCUGACUGGAUUUGAGCUGCAGUUUGCAACCAGGAAAAGGAAAAUUAACCUGCCAAACAACUUAUAGCAUUAGCAGGCUACACCAGAGGUCCCACAUUUUGACACUGAUUAUUUCAUUUCCUGUAUGACUCAAAAUACAUGUAUUUUAGGCUAGAGGUAUGUCUGUUUUAAGUACUGAAGGAGUGAAGGUAUGAGUACAGCUGACUUCAGGAACUGCUUAUUGGUUAGGUUUGUUGUCAUAUAGGACUAGGAAGGAAAACAAUUUUCUUGUUUCUGGUCAUACUAUUUCUGUGUGUUGUUUCCAGAUGUUGUGCUUUGGGAAUGCUUUUAUCGGAUAUGUUAGCAGUGUGAGGGUGCAACUAGAUCAGUUCUUAACACCACCACGAAUGCUGUUCCAAGUGUCAUCUAACAGUUUUAUGUGGGACAAAGAAUAGAAGGAAUGAGGUGAAAACAGGAAAAAAAGAUUAAAAGUUCCUGUAAGCAGUUCACUGCUUUGCAGAACAAAGGUGGAGGCACUUGCUGGUGAAGGCCUUUUGGUGCUCAGGUGAAGUAUAGUAUAAAACAUGUACAGUUUGAAGAGAUCAUUUUAAUCCUGGGCAGCAGUAUCCCCAUGUGGCUAUGCAGAGGUGAGCAUAUGAACCUGAGGGAUACAGCCUGUGAAAAAGGCCAGUGCAGAAUCAGAGGGAGGAGAAGUAUAGAAGCCCAAUGGUAAAACUCCACAUCUGCUAACAGGGGAGCACAGGUGAAACAACUGGGAUCUUUCUUAGGAAGAGGUUUGUACAUAGGGGUGAGGUUAGAGGGUGUUUUCUGCACGCUGCUGUUUAUAAAUAUUUAUAUACAUGUGGUUUUUUAAAACAAUUUUAAAUGUGACAGUUGGUUCUGGAA
rnacentral:lncRNA from 1 species